ACUCCGUGUCGCCGGUUCCGAUUGAGCAGACAUUGCUUCCAACGACGUCGUUUUCGCCGUCUUCUUCUUCUCCUCCAUCUCCACAGAGGACUCUGUGUUUUCGUGAUCUGAGAGGGGAUCGAUCUUCGCCGCGUGACCACAGAUCCAUAUCUUCCAACGAUGGUGCAUCGAUUUGGGGAUCUUGCCGUCUUCUCCAUCUGCUUCUAUAAUCGAUCUUCGCCGCGUGACUGCAGACUUACGUAGAAGUUAUGUUGCUAUGAGGAGACAGCUUCUAAUUAAUCCACAUGUACCAAUGGAUGGUAGUACCUCUCCAGAUCUUGUUAUGAAGAACUUAUUGUCUCAAAACCCUGCAUAUGGGUCGCUUCUUCAGGAAUGCUGAGUUAGAAAGAAUGGUUGAUCGGGAUUUGUCUCGUUUAUAUCUUGAUUCUUGAGCAUGGUAGCUAUUUCCAAACCCCUGGGUGCUAGGCCAUGUUGCGGUGUAUUUGGUUGCUAAAAGGACACCCUAGAAGGAUGCAAGAAAGAGAUAUCAUGAAAUGACGCAAAUACCCUCCUUUCAAACGGUCAUCUCGAAAAUGUUGACGGAGGACCAAAAUUGUCCUCGUCACAAUAAGAGUGUUCACAAAUUGUCUGAUUUUUUUUAUAGAGGACCAAAAUUGUCCGUGCCACUAUAAGUCUAGGACCAAAAACCCACUCCACAUUGAAUAUAGAAAAUAACCUAAUUCCCUUUUUCUAGCUGUUGGCAAAUUAUAUCGUGUACCAGGACGUACAAUUCAUUGUGCACCCUAAGAGUUUAUGUGUAUUUUAUGUUAAGAGUUUAUGUGUAUUAUGUAUUAUGUUA